rnacentral:rRNA from 1 species
AGAGUUUGAUCCUGGCUCAGGAUGAACGCUAGCUACAGGCUUAACACAUGCAAGUCGAGGGGAAACGACAUCGAAAGCUUGCUUUCGAUGGGCGUCGACCGGCGCACGGGUGAGUAACGCGUAUCCAACCUGCCCACCACUUGGGGAUAACCUUGCGAAAGUAAGACUAAUACCCAAUGACGUCUCUAGAAGACAUCUGAAAGAGAUUAAAGAUUUAUCGGUGAUGGAUGGGGAAUGCGUCUGAUUAGCUUGUUGGCGGGUAACGGCCGCCAAGGCUACGAUCAGUAGGGGUUCUGAGAGGAAGGUCCCCACAUUGGAACUGAGACACGGUCCAAACUCCUACGGGAGGCA